rnacentral:rRNA from 1 species
UACGGAGGGUGCAAGCGUUGUUCGGAAUCAUUGGGCGUAAAGCGCGUGCAGGCGGUUUGGCAAGUCGGGUGUGAAAGCCCUUGGCUCAACUGAGGAAUUGCAUUCGAAACUGCCAGACUUGAGUGCGGGAGAGGGUAGUGGAACUCCUAGUGUAGAGGUGAAAUUCGUAGAUAUUAGGAGGAACACCUGUGGCGAAGGCGGCUACCUGGACCGACACUGACGCUGAGACGCGAAAGCGUGGGGAG